UCUAUUCACUCAAGAUAGAGCGCCCA
rnacentral:piRNA from 1 species